rnacentral:rRNA from 1 species
UACGUAGGGGGCUAGCGUUGUCCGGAAUCAUUGGGCGUAAAGCGCGUGUAGGCGGUUCGGUAAGUCCGCUGUGAAAGUCGGGGGCUCAACCCUCGGAUGCCGGUGGAUACUGUCGGACUAGAGUACGGAAGAGGCGAGUGGAAUUCCAGGUGUAGCGGUGAAAUGCGUAGAUAUCUGGAGGAACACCGGUGGCGAAGGCGGCAUCCUGGACCGGCAUUGACGCUGAGGCGCGAAAGCUAGGGGAGCAAACGGG